UACAGGGGGUGCAAGCGUUGCUCGGAAUCAUUGGGCGUAAAGCGCACGUAGGCGGCUUAGCAAGUCGGAAGUGAAAUCCCUCGGCUCAACCAAGGAAGUGCUUUCGAAACUGCUGAGCUUGAGUACUAAAGAGGAUCGCGGAAUUCCCGGUGUAGAGGUGAAAUUCGUAGAUAUCGGGAGGAACACCAGUGGCGAAGGCGGCGAUCUGGGUAGAUACUGACGCUGAGGUGCGAAAGCGUGGGGAGCAAACAGG
rnacentral:rRNA from 1 species